AUGACUGGACGAAACAAAGAAAUAACCCCUUAUGUGCGAAAUUAUAGAAGAUCCCCUUUAAGAUCAAACAAUUCCAUCGAAUUGAGUAUGACUAUAUGUGAAACAGGUGGCACGAAAUGCUCAUUUAACGGAUGGAGUCAUACCACCGCCUUCUCCUGCAAACGAGCAAGUUCUAAGCUUUAUCGAUCUUCUCCGGCUCACGGAACUCUGGCACCUACUAAAGGGAAUAGAAAGAUCUUGGGCACAAAUACUCCACUUUUCACGAAAGACAUAGAUUCACCAAUGAUUGGUUGGACUAAAUACUACAUUUAUUUGCUCAGAAGAAGGAAAGUUGGUUGUGAGAAUGAUUUCUCGUAG
rnacentral:rRNA from 1 species